AUACAGAGGGUGCAAGCGUUAUUCGGAAUUACUGGGCGUAAAGCGCGCGUAGGCGGAUGAUUAAGUCAGUUGUGAAAGCCCUGGGCUCAACCUAGGAACUGCGUCUGAUACUGGUCGUCUAGAGUUUAAGAGAGGGAAGUGGAAUUCCAGGUGUAGCAGUGAAAUGCGUAGAUAUCUGGAGGAACAUCAGUGGCGAAGGCGACUUCCUGGCUUAAAACUGACGCUGAGGUGCGAAAGCGUGGGUAGCGAACGGGAGUAGAUACCCUAGUAGUCC
rnacentral:rRNA from 1 species